AACACUGUUAACCUGCGGUACCUGCGGAGGGAUCAUUACCGAGUUUACAACUCCCAAACCCCUGUGAACAUACCACUUGUUGCCUCGGCGGAUCAGCCCGCUCCCGGUAAAACGGGACGGCCCGCCAGAGGACCCCUAAACUCUGUUUCUAUAUGUAACUUCUGAGUAAAACCAUAAAUAAAUCAAAACUUUCAACAACGGAUCU
rnacentral:misc_RNA from 1 species